rnacentral:rRNA from 1 species
AAGUGUGGCCAUGUCUGCUUGUCAGUUCCCAGUCUCAUCUGAUCUCGCACACUAAGCAAGGCCAGGCCUGGUCAGUACUUGGAGUACUGUAAUACAAUACGCUACAGUGG